GACGAACGCUGGCGGCGUGCUUAACACAUGCAAGUCGAGCGGAAAGGCCCUUUCGGGGGUACUCGAGCGGCGAACGGGUGAGUAACACGUGAGUAAUCUGCCCUUGGCUUUGGGAUAACCACCGGAAACGGUGGCUAAUACCGAAUAUGACGGGCUCCGGCAUCGGGGUUCGUGGAAAGUUUUUUCGGCCAGGGAUGUGCUCGCGGCCUAUCAGCUUGUUGGUGGGGUAAUGGCCUACCAAGGCUUCGACGGGUAGCCGGCCUGAGAGGGUGACCGGCCACACUGGGACUGAGACACGGCCCAGACUCCUACGGGAGGCAGCAGUGGGGAAUAUUGGACAAUGGGCGGAAGCCUGAUCCAGCAACGCCGCGUGAGGGAUGACGGCC
rnacentral:rRNA from 1 species